ensembl:misc_RNA Metazoa_SRP Metazoan signal recognition particle RNA
GCCAGGUGUGGUGGCGCGUGCCUGCAGUCUCAGCUACUUUGGAGGCUGAGCCCAGGAGUUCUGGGCUGUGGUGCGCUAUGCCAAUCAGGUGUCCGCACUAAGUUCAGCAUCAAUAUGGUGACCUCCCAGGAGCAGGGGACCACCAGCUUGCCUAAGGAGAGGUGAACUGGCCCAGGUCAGAAAUGGAGCAGGUCAAAACUCCUCUGCUGAUCAGUAGGGGGAUCUCGCCUGUGAAUAGCCACUGCACUCCAGCCUGGGCAACUU